rnacentral:rRNA from 1 species
UACGUAGGGUGCAAGCGUUGUCCGGAAUUAUUGGGCGUAAAGAGCUCGUAGGCGGUCUGUCACGUCGGCUGUGAAAACCCGAGGCUCAACCUCGGGCCUGCAGUCGAUACGGGCAAACUAGAGUACUGCAGGGGAGACUGGAAUUCCUGGUGUAGCGGCGAAAUGCGCAGAUAUCAGGAGGAACACCGGUGGCGAAGGCGGGUCUCUGGGCAGUAACUGACGCUGAGGCGCGACAGCGUGGGGAGCAAACAGG